rnacentral:tRNA from 1 species
CGGGGAAUAGCUCAGUGAUAGAGCUCCCGCUUCGUAUGCGGGAAGACAUGGGUUCGAUUCCCCGA